UGGCUGGCCAAGCAAGAGAACAAAGAGAAAAAGAGAAGAACAAACCCUAGGAAGGAAAAAUUCAAGAGAAAUUGUUGGAUUUCAAGGAAUCAAGCAAGUAAAGGUGGUGAGCCCUUUGAUAUGGGUAAAGAUAUUGUGCCCGAGGACCAAGAAUAGGAGUACUCCAAACUCCUGCUAUUGCUAAGGACAGUUUGUAGACAGCCGAUUUUGUCGAGGGUUGCUUUUCGAUUUACAUCCUUAGAAAUCGAAGGUCUACAGUCUUGUAUAAUUGCGAUUAUUUUGGGGCCGACAUGUCAUUGUAGAAUAUUUUGUAUACCUGGCUGCGUGUGCCACUAUAUGUAUGCAUUUAUUUUGCUUUUACGCUACAAAAAUUAUUUACGUAGAGUUCUAUAAAUAUUG